GGUUAAAUUAUGCAGGCAUUUACAUACAUCCGUGUUGAAAAAUUUGCAUAUAGCUUUAGCUUUCACACUGUAAUUGCCCACACAAAGAACUACUCAUGAAUUGUAAAUGUUUCGAAAACGGAAGACGAAAGAGUGCUAUAAUAUUCCUGAAAUUCUUGUACAUAUGCAUAGCUUCCUCGUAUGAGCUUUCGUUUUUAGCUUGUAAAUGAGAGCUAUUUAUGAAGAAACACAUGGGUUUUAUAGUAUUGCUCAUAUUUGUCACGAUAUGGGCGAUUCCUGUGCGCGGCUGUGAACCGAAUUCUGGCUGCGCUGACGAAGCUAUAAAUCUGGUAUUCACUAUAAUCGGAGCAAUCAUGAUCGUAUCCAUUAUUAUGGUGCUGAUUUUUUGUUGCUUCAAAAGCAUAGGAAAGCGGAGAGGAUCCAGAGGCAACGUUUGUAAUUGUGGACAAACAAGGUGGCAGUUUGAUGGUGGUGUCGAAGCCAGGGGGGACUUUGGUGGUGACGAUUUUGGAGGUGGUGAUUGUGGGGAAGAGGACAGAAGGUUGCUGAGCAACGUCUUCGUAUAACCCUAGGGUAUAACCCAUUGAAAUGGGUGGACGGUGAAAGAAAGACAAUCGAACAUGUGAAAUAAGUGAAUAUACUCUUAUAUAGUAGAGCCGGAGAUGUUCAAGAUGGUUCCGAGUUUAAACGCAGAAUUCGCUUUAGUUUAAAGCUCAUUAUAUUAUAUAUUAUGACGUCUUUAUUGAUGAACUCUAAAAUGACAAAUAUAGACACGGCAUACGCGUGCCUUUCCAAGAAAUUAAUGAAAUAUGAUAAAAAUAUUUAUAGUGAUAUGACAAAUAUUGAUAGAUUUAUACAUUUAUAUUUAAUUGAAUAGACAUAAUUUAUUCUUUAAACAAGCAACGUUUGAAUCGUUCGGUUUUAACUUUAGAGUUUAGGGAGGAUAAAAUUAUGUUCUCGUUUCAAGGUUAGGAUGUGGAGUAGGUUUAGGGUAAGUUAAAGGAUUCUUAUAAAUGCCUAGUUGUUGAUUCUUUCGCUUUCAACGAUCUUCAAAACCAUAGCUGCCAUCUUGAAAACCUCCUCGACUUUAAUUCAUGUUUACACUGAACUCUAGCUCAAAGCCCACGCACAGACAGGUUUUUAUUCUCUCGCAUGUACGGCAAAAAAUUGACAACUUUUCCUUGUCAAUUAGGAGCCUUGUUUCAGAGCUAUUGCUAGUCAUGCCAUCUUUUGGAAUUUGGAUAAGCUAUAUAUAGGACAAUUUGUUCGCAUGUACGGCAGCCAAGGAUGGAUUUUUCAGUCACGUAUAAUUAUACGUACCACGCAGUGCUCUUAAUUGUUUGUCUAGGUACUUAACUUUUUGCACAAGCAUGUAAAAACUUUUUGCUUGUACCAUUUGAUCUUUCCAAACCUAAGUUAUUCAAAACCAUAAUUUAGUCGGAAUACGUGCAAGUCUUGGCAUUAAACAACGAUUGGACUGAUUUAGCAUGACUUGGGAUUAAACAACGAUUGGACUGAUGUGAUGAGAUGGGACAAAGGAAUGUUAGAGUCGAUCGUAGUGUUUGUGUAUCUAACUACUAGUUUAAUUUCUGAAUGAGGAUAUCUUUCAGAAACCUGUGCAUUAUGUACUUCAUUCUAAAGACUAAGUACACCUUAAUUGAGUCUUAAGUUUGUACUAUCUCAAGUACGCGGCAAUAAUCAUUGGAGCAACAUUCAGGUAGGACUAAAAAGUUUGAAUUAUCGCCGCACCCUGACGUAAAGUCAUGCUAUAUGUUGUAUGGAUGAGGCGAAGAGAAUGUGUUUGAACAUCUCAAAUACAAAUUUCGCAAACAUGUCUUUGAUAAUAUUUCAAAUGUAGUGGUAUUGCAAAUUCUAGAUCUGCAGGCCUAUAC
rnacentral:lncRNA from 1 species